GAAGACGGGACGGGAGUUUUUCUUUGAGUAACAUUCUCGUGAGAUAGCUACAUAUUCGAUUAUCUUUUUUUCUGUGCAAGAAAGAACAUGGCAGCUAUGCACAGACCAUGUGGGUUAUUUUUCCCGGGCAAAGUUCAACAGAAUUGCUGGCAAAAACCUAAAGCAGGAUUUCUACGAGAACCUUGAUGGAUAUAGUCCACGGUUCAUGGACCUUUUUUAAGCCAAAGUGGGGACUCCAGGUCAGUAACGUUACUUGGCUAACUUUUUGAAUCAAAUAAAGCCCAACCAACGGAGGUCCUAACCCUUGUGAUUCAAGGACUACCUAUCAUGCUUGGAGAUGAUGGUGACUUCAUUUCUUCAAGUCAUGUUUAGUGUCUGAUCAUCGCAACUCCAUCCUUAAUGUGCCAGUGGGCAUCUUAUUUGAGGACACUGACUUUCAGCCCCCCAAUUCCUUGUAUUUAACUUCUACGAUUGGAAUAAUAAAAUGCAGGACCUCCCACAGGCUAUGUGUCUCCUCUUCGGUCUGAUCUACGAACUUGAACUGAAUUACCCCAAAUCAUUUGGCAACACGUUUGAUUUCAUCCAGCGUGUGUUAAUGUCAAUGGGACAAUAUUCUCUCAAGCCUAAAUUGCAGUCUCUGGCAAACCAGCUUUUUGUAAAAAAAAAAAAAAAAAAAAAACUUCACUUUGAGACUUUUAACACCACCCUGAGAAUGUUCUACAAAUGAUUUGCAGGAUAUAUAUAUACCAUGUAUUGGUACCAUUUUUACUACCUCUUCAGUUUUGUGACCCAGAAAAUAUUUGUUUAAAAAAAAAUGCCACUUUGAGACUUUAAUAUUUCUGACAAUGUUUUGUUUUGUGAGGGAAAAUGUGGUUUAAAUUGUGAAAUGCUCUAUAAUUAAUGUGCAUUAGUCAAUUUAGUAUAUUGUUACCAUUGUUGGUAACAAUACCGCUACAGUGUGUUCAAUUACAGUAUAGUUUGUACUGUAAUAUUGUGCAAAUAUUUGGUCAAAGACAGUGACUAUGGUCAGUAUGCUUUACUUAUUUUGCUGUGAUUGCAUAAAGCUUAAACCAGUAAAAUGUUAAAAGAAUGUACAUUACGUGUAAAUGUUCA